ACUCCUACGGGAGGCAGCAGUGGGGAAUAUUGCACAAUGGGCGCAAGCCUGAUGCAGCCAUGCCGCGUGUGUGAAGAAGGCCUUCGGGUUGUAAAGCACUUUCAGUCGUGAGGAAGGUAGUGUAGUUAAUAGCUGCAGUAUUUGACGUUAGCGACAGAAGAAGCACCGGCUAACUCCGUGCCAGCAGCCGCGGUAAUACGGAGGGUGCGAGCGUUAAUCGGAAUUACUGGGCGUAAAGCGCAUGCAGGUGGUUUGUUAAGUUCAGAUGUGAAAGCCCGGGGCUCAACCUCGGAAUAGCAUUUGAAACUGGCAGACUAGAGUACUGUAGAGGGGGUAGAAUUUCAGGUGUAGCGUGAAAUGCGUAGAGAUCUGAAGGAUACCGGUGGCGAAGCGGCCCCUGGACAGAUACUGACACUCAGAUGCGAAAGCGUGGGAGCAAACAGGAUUAGAUACCCCUGGUAGACUGUCA
rnacentral:rRNA from 1 species